rnacentral:rRNA from 1 species
GACGAACGCUGGCGGCGUGCCUAACACAUGCAAGUGGAGCGACGACCCGGGCUUCGGCCCGGUGCAAAGCCGCGAACGGGUGAGUAACACGUGGGUAACCUGCCCUGAUGAUUGGGACAACCCGAGGAAACUCGGGCUAAUACCGAAUGUGCCCUCCGGCCGUAAGGCCUCUGGGGAAAGGAAGCUUCGGCCUCCGCAUUGGGAUGGGCCCGCGGCCCAUUAGCUUGUUGGUGAGGUAACGGCUCACCAAGGCAACGAUGGGUAGCUGGUCUGAGAGGACGAUCAGCCACACUGGGACUGAGACACGGCCCAGACUCCUACGGGAGGCAGCAGUGGGGAAUCUUGCGCAAUGCGCGAAAGCGUGACGCAGCAACGCCGCGUGGGGGAAGAAGGCCUUCGGGUUGUAAACCCCUUUCAGUUGGGACGAAGCUCCGGCGGUGAAUAGCCGUCUGGAGUGACGGUACCUUCAGAAGAAGCCCCGGCUAACUACGUGCCAGCCGCCGCGGUAAUAC